rnacentral:rRNA from 1 species
AUGCCAAUAAUAAAUAAUCUACUUGAAGAAGUAUGGGAGGUCGAGCACGUAGAGGAGGAAGUAGGCCCAGAUGGCGCCGGAGACGCCGCCGAAGAAGAAGCCUCCGGUGAACUGGGACCAGCCUUCGGCGGUCUGCAGCUUGUCGGCCUCCUUCUUGCGGCCGGUGAGCGUGAGGGCGGGCGCGGUGGAGGGCGCGCCCUCGUUGAAGGAGGCGACGCCGUACAUGGUGAGGCAGACGCUGAGGAUGGAGACGAGGAGGUAGCCGUGGGCGAGGCCGACCUCGAUGCCACGGAGGAGCGGGCUGACGGCGGUGCGGUACGCGGGAAGGUUGGAGAGGUACCACGCGACGAGGGGGCUGGACGUGACGGGCGUCUCCAGGCUGCCGAUGAAUGGGUCGCCGUUGAUGGGCUGGACCACCUGGUACGUCCCCUGUUUGACACAAGAAUAUGUAUGAGAUACAGGAAGACUUGCAAGUUAGAACAAAGGAAAAGUGUGGUGAAUCGCUUAAUUUUAGCUCUCUCUUGCAUGCAAUUGCAACUGACCUUGUCGGACUUGACGGCCUUGACGACGAAGCGGGGCCUCCUGGUGAGUGAAGCGCCGGACAGUCCCCUCGGCUUGGAGCACACCAAGCCGCUCUUCAUCACCUGGCUUGCCAUCGGAGGAGCAUAUGCAGUAGCCAUCUCGAUCUCCUUCGACUCCCACACGCUCAACUCUGCUCUGCCUGCAGCUAGAAAUGGAUGGAUGUGUUACAGGAAGAAGAUUUGUCCGGAUGGCAAUAUGUUUUAG